AGGACGAACGCUGGCGGUGCGCCUAACACAUGCAAGUCGAACGGUGAACCGGGCUUCGGCCCGGGGAUCAGUGGCGAACGGGUGCGUAACACGUGGGCAACCUGCCCCCGACCCUGGGAUAACCCCGGGAAACCGGAGCUAAUACCGGAUACUCUCCUCCGACCACAUGGUCGGCUGAGGAAAGGUCCGCCGGUCGGGGAUGGGCCCGCGGCCUAUCAGCUUGUGGUGGGGUAACGCCUACCAAGGCGACGACGGGUAGCUGGUCUGAGAGGACGACCAGCCACACUGGGACUGAGACACGGCCCAGACUCCUACGGGAGGCAGCAGUGGGGAAUCUUGCGCAAUGGGCGAAAGCCUGACGCAGCGACACCGCGUGGGGGAUGAAGGCCUUUCAGGUCGUAAACCCCUUUCGGCAGGGACGAAGCGAAUCUCGUGACGGUACCUGCAGAAGAAGCCUCGGACUAACUACGUGCCAGCAGCCGCGGU
rnacentral:rRNA from 1 species